rfam:Gossypium hirsutum cultivar TM-1 chromosome 18, whole genome shotgun sequence
AUUCUAGGAUGAGGGCCUUUUUGUAAUAACUCCUUAAAUCAUUCUCAUGCCUCAUAUAAGGACUCAUCACCGGAUUGCUAAAAUGUGAAAAUUUCAUUUUUGAGCUU